GACGUAGGAGGCGAGCGUUGUCCGGAUUCAUUGGGCGUAAAGAGCACGCAGGCGGUUUGGCAAGUCGGACGUGAAAAUCCGGGGCUCAACCCCGGACCUGCAUCCGAAACUGCCCGACUAGAGGUAGGUAGGGGAGAUCGGAAUUCCUGGUGUAGCGGUGAAAUGCGCAGAUAUCAGGAGGAACACCGGUGGCGAAGGCGGAU
rnacentral:rRNA from 1 species